CGCAAGUUAGUACACUUUCAAUACUCCCGACUUAGGAUCGAGAAAAAAGGCAAUAAUCCCUUACUUGCAA
rnacentral:tRNA from 1 species